rnacentral:misc_RNA from 1 species
GGCCCAAGAGCAAGUUAGCCUUGGCCGUUUAUCGGUUUCCUGUGCUGUAUACCUACUAUAAUGGAAUUCGAACGUGCAAUAUUUUGUUAUUCGCCUUGUGCUGUCCCAUUGGUUGUCCCUUUGGGGUGCGGUGUCGGGUGAACCUCGAAGCGAUCUUCAUGUUCUUCGUCACCCACGAAAUGUGUUGUCGGCGCGGCCCAUGAAGAUUGCUUGAGCUCUCGGAUGCGGAAUAUGCAGAGGGUAGUAGGCCUACAGCCUCUCUUUGCCCGAAUUAAGCGUUUAUUCGCUCAUUACCGAACGACGGCCGGCGGUGCUUUGAUGUGUUGGAGCCCUCAGGUUUUGGC